CCAAACAAAAAAAUUAUUAUAAAAGGAUAGUAUUGUAAAGGUAAGCCCAAAAAAAAUAAAAAGUAACAAUAGGUGUAUCAAUACUUUAACGGUAGGGAUGUUUCGAGUCAUUUUUAAAAAUACAGGGGCUAAAUGGAUACUAAUCUUAAAAUAGAGAGACUAAAUGAGCUUUUACCCCCUAUAACUUAUAAAUAUCAUGUGAAAGUAGUAUUUAUUAACCACAUAAAUGCAAUGACAAUUAUAAGUUAGAAUUCAAACAUUGAAAUUUCUAACAUUGUUAAUUACACGUUGAUUAUAAUAGCAGUGGUUGUCUUUGGUCCAAGAAUUAAAAAUAUAAAAUGUAGUUGAGUUUUCGGUCCAGUAAAAUGACGAUAAAGUUGCAUUGAACUUUUUUACUUUUAGUCGCAUUGAAAAGGAACAACAUCAACUAUAUAAUUUUCAUUAUUUAAAAGCUAUAUAUAAUGUAAUUUUUCAGGUAUUAUCUUGCUCUUUAUAAUCCAAUAAUUCUGUUUUGGGCCCUAGUAUUUUUACUAUUUGAUCUAUAGUUUGAAAAAGAUAGGCUAAAAUAUCUUAUGUUAAAAAUAAAUAAAUAUUUUCUGCGUAUUGAUCUAUCUCACCAACUAACCAAUGAAUGCUACAUUGUUUGUGAUUAUGUUUUGGGAUAAAAAAUUUAGAAUGUGUAGCACUAUUUUUAAAUAUUCGCAAUGAGACUUCCCAAUCUUAGUGCGUGGCCUAUAAUUAAGUUAUUGUCAUAUAUGCAUAUUUACUUUUUUCUAAUUAGUUAAUAGAUGAAUAUGGUGACAAUUUAAUAAGAUUGAGGAAAAUUAUUUUGUGCUCUUCUUGUCUAUUCACUCAUUGCCAUGAUAUACUUUAAUCAAUUAUAAUAAUAUGUAUAAACACGUGUAAAUAGUAAAUAUAUAAAGAGUAAUGGUCUGAAAACACCAAAAACCUUCUCUAAAAAUUGUGAUAUACAUGGAGAUCUUAAGUACGCCAUCUCCCUUACCCAACAGAUAUCAAUUGAAAGCAUUGGACAAUUAUUUACAUUCUGGCCUGUCAAGAUGUAGUUUUUGUGCUUUGAUCCUCGUAAGUUCUAUUUAUUUUCAUUAUGGCUCUAGCUCUAGUUUUUAUGACUACGACUUGGCCUUUAUAAAUUUUGUUUCUUCUCAUUAUGACUACACAAUUUCUCAAGUGAAUCAAUAACAUACUAAAUUAAUUAAUUAAUUAAAUACACACAUAAUGUAAUAGAAAGUGCCCAAACAGGCCAUUUGCCAACGAGAAAAAACCCAAAGAAAUGUCAUUUUUUUCUUGUUUUCAUUGUGAUAGGGGUUGCAUUAAGCUCAGUUCAAUUAUAAACAGAUGCACUCAAAAUGAUUGUCAAACAAUCAGUCACUCAAUCUGUCAUUUCCCAAUUAUUGAAAGGAUGUGAAGAGACUGAGAGAGAGUAUGCGUGUGUCACUCUCUAGCUCUAUCUAUGUGAAAGAUCAACUACAAUGAUAAUUAAUUUCCCAAAAUGAGAAUGAAUGAUAAGUAAUGCAUGCCGACAUAUACAUGCGUGAACACAUUUCUUUUAUUAUUAGUGAAGAAGAGGAUUUUUGUCUUAAAGAUAGCCGAAAUGAUAUAAUAAUAGUUCAUAAUUGGAGCAACGGGUCAUGCCUUUAUUAUUAGUAUGAUGUUGAUUUAAUCUCUUUAAUUCGCUUGAAAGUUUGCCUAUUAUCCGGAUUUUGAAUCUUGUUUAAAAAUAUUCCCGCAUUGCAAAUUAAGAAACCGAAACUAUCGUUCUAUUAUCCUAUUUGGAAUAAAUAUAUUUUUAGUUUUUUGUAUUAUUUUUGUUGAGAAAAAUAGCUCACAUCGAUUAAGAAUAUUUAUAGAUAUAAUAAUAUGAGCUUGAGAUAACCCUUCACUUAGUUAUAUACGAGUUAGCUGUUAGCCUUUGGGUGUCAAUAAUAUUAUGCUUAAUUAGUUUAGAUACGUAGUUUGAAUAUUCAUUGAUGUGUCACCAAUCGUUUAAUAUCAUGUGAAUGGUGUUAAUUGUUAAUGGUAUUAGCGAGUAUCUAAAGUAAGUAAGCAUAACAUUAAUCUUUAGAGAGAAGUUAGAUUAAUGAGCUCCUAUGUGGUAUCAAAACCAAACUCUUGCACGAGUCCACAAAAUAUUUCCAUCUUACAAUGUCCAAACAAAACUAGAGUUAAGAUAUGAAAAACUACAAGUUGUAGAUCAACUCAUGCGCAAGAUUCACCAUUGCGUCAAUUGAUAUAGAUCCGAUUCUAGAAGACGACGGAUUAAAAGAGUUAUUGACUAUUUCGACAAAUCACUUGAAGGUUUCUCGUGUACACAAAGUUUUUCUCUGCUUCUCCGCAAAGGAUUAAUCAUCUGCCCAAGUACUGACGGCAAUGGAUUAUUCGUAAAUCAAUCUUAAUCAGAUAGCUAUUAUACGUCCCGUUAAUUAUACGACUUAAAUCCAUAUCGAACAUAAUGCAGUUUAUUUAUUUAUUUUGUUUUAAACAGAAUAUAAAAUGCAUGGCUAUAGCUAGCUUAAGCAGCAGGACAAAUAACUUGAUACGAUUCUCAAAUUAAUUCCAUCUAAUAAAAAUAUAAAAUAAUAGAUUUAAUUAAACAUUAAAUUGGAUAAGUUCAAGAAAUUAACCAAGCCUCGAGCUACCAGUUUGAAUUUGCAUGCUGGAGUUGCAAAAUGAAGAUUCUGACGCCGGCGUAAGGAAACAGAAGAAGGUAACACGUGGGCGAGAAACUUGCGUGGGAUUAUUAUAAUUAUCCCUCCCACUUCGGUAUAGCUAUACAGAAUUAAGGUGGCAAGUGGUCCAUUAACAUUUUAUCACGUGACAUAAUAGUAUAUUUUAAUAUAUAUUUUAUCAGUGAUUCUGUACUAGUCGCACUUAAAAAUUUAUCUUAAAUAAACUAAUAAAUCUCCGAGACUCAUUAUUCUACCGCAUAAUAAAAUUUUAAUAGGACAAUUCCACAUAAAUCUUUUUCGGCAAUUAUUAAAUUACAGCUGCAGUGCCGUAACUUAAAAUCCAUUUAAAAAUAUGCAAUAAAUUAUGUCAGAUAAUGUCAUUUUUGCAUGAACUGUAAAUUACAUCAUUAAGACGGACCUAAUUUUCUUGCAUCACUAUCACAUCGCUUAGUAUUUUUUUAUUUAUUUAUUUAUUAAUCAAUUAUAAAGUCCAAUUAUAUAUGGCUCAGAUCCGGCCCCGGCCGACAUCAUUUUUCGAUACAGAAGCAACAACAACUCCCCCACGUGGCAAAUUUUUAUUUAAAGCACGUGAGGAUCAACUCAAACAUCAAACUCAUCUUCUCGAAUCCUGAUCUACGUUUUUUUUUUUUUUUUAAUUUUUUAAUUUUGCUGGUACAUGCGCAUUUUAAAAUAUAAAAUUCAUAUUUUUAAAACAAACGUUUACAUCCAAUUAAAAUUUUAUUUUAAAUUAUGUCGAUAGAGUUAAAAAGUAUCACAGUAUUAUGCGUUUUGAUUAAAUUUACCCGUUGUAAUUCAUUUAGGUUGAUUGAUAGAUUAAUCAGUACAUUGAUAUAACAUCUAAGAUAUAAAAUUCUCAUUUUUUAAAACAAAUUUUUACAUCAAAUUGAAUUUUUAUUUACAUCAACUGAAAGAAAAAAAAAAUCUAUAAAUUAUAUUCAUUGUCCAGAGAUAGCUUUCAAUUCUGAAGCGAUUAUGCAAAAUUUAUACGUAAUAUUGGACAAAAAUUUAACUUGAAUAAUCGAUAUAUUACAAUUCUUUUGGUUCGUGAUAAUGUCUUUUAUCCUUAGACUAAGUCUCUCAAGUUGAUAUGAAAUCAGUGUCCUGCCAAUCACAUAACGCCUUAUCAAUCGCUUCGUGUGGUUCAUGUAGAUGGUGAAGCUUCUUUUUCUCCUCUAAAGUCCUUAUAUAUUUGAUUGACACGAUGCAUGCCCUAAUUUUCUUCCAAAUAUCAUGGCACUAAUCCUAGUUAAUUUCAGCCACUUUUCUUCAAUUUUUAAAAGGGAAAAUAAUAAAUAAAUAGAAUCAUGGCUUGAAUUUCUUUCUUUUCUUUUUUUUUUUUUUUUUUUUUUGAUAGCGUUGGUGUACUGAAAUUGAUUUCAUGAAAGCAUGCGUAUCUCUUGUAUUAAUUAUGUCAAAAAGUCUACACAGUAGACGAGUAUUAUUGCCUUAUCGAUCUUGUGACCGACGGCAAGAGGAGAAUGCCAUACUUUUGAAAGCAAUUCAUAAUAUAUGCUCGGCAUUGAAAGUUAUUUUUUAAACCACUUUAAAAAAUGAAUAAAUAAUUCAAAUAAAUAAAUAAUUAUAGACGUUCGCAUUUCACAAAAUUUAUAGGUGGUUUUGAAGUGUUAUACAAACUUUGGGAGGACAUUUUGACGACAUAUCAUCAUUUCUCAAAUCCGUCCAUACUCGUGCUUCAUUCCGUGUCCCGAAUUAAGUAUGUUGCCUAUUUUGAGCCACAAUUCUUAUAGAAUUAUAAAAGCAACUCACAAUUUUUUUUAAAAAAUUUUAAUUUCCUUUUCCAUGCAUAUUAGUAAUUAAAUUCGCAUACUAUUUACGUGAGCGGAGUUUAAACAUAGGUGGCGUUUGUUUUAUUUGGGUCUGAAAUUUGAAUAGUACUUGAACUAGUCU
rnacentral:lncRNA from 1 species